UGCCAGUUUGCAACCUGUCGUGGAGUCA
rnacentral:piRNA from 1 species